UACAGAGGGUGCGAGCGUUGUCCGGAAUCACUGGGCGUAAAGGGCGCGUAGGUGGCGUCGCAAGUCGAUGGUGAAAGCUCGGCGCUCAACGCCGAGUCGGCCCUUGAUACUGCGAGGCUGGAGCACUGUAGAGGCUAAUGGAAUUCCGGGUGUAGCGGUGGAAUGCGUAGAGAUCCGGAAGAACACCGGUGGCGAAGGCGGUUAGCUGGGCA
rnacentral:rRNA from 1 species